UACCUAAUUUGUUGUCCAUCAUGUAAAACAUAAAUGAUGAUAGACACCAUAUAAGGUAGA
rnacentral:pre_miRNA from 1 species